UAUGGCGCCGUCGAUCAACGUCGAUAGCUUUAUCUUCGUCUGCAACGGAUAGGACCACGUGCAUCAUUGCAUAGCCUCGUCGUGAAGUGGUCAAGCCUGUCUACAGCGAUCGGCAAAACGACAUUAUUACAACUAGCAGUUGAUCAUUUCAGGCUUUGUUAAGUGGAAAGUGAAAGAAACGGAGAAAUUUCUAAAGUUAUAGUCGACAAGUGAAUGAUGCUGCAAGACGAUCCGCUAUUUGCCAUGUCGUCACCUAGUGACUGGCUUGAAAGGACAAUCCACAGCUCUCACCUUCCCUCCGACUAGACAUCAUGAAACGUGAGCCGUGACAAAGUGAUUUUGUUUAGCCGGAAAGUUGUUGAAUUUCAUGCAAAGGAGCAGAAAGAAAGUUGUGUGGCUGUUGAGACCGAGUAAAAGUGGUGGCUGCUGCGGUCAUACGGAGAUCAACGUGUUCAGCAAAUGAUCAGCCUCGAGGAGGAAAAAGGAUAUCCAUCACAUCCGUUCCCAUCCAUGCGUUAUCCAUUUCGCGUGUGCCUCUAAAUAAACAUAGCCUCCGACAUAGCACGGCACUAAAAAAAAAAAA